rnacentral:rRNA from 1 species
CAUGCAUGUCUAAGUACAAGCCUCAGUAAGGUGAAACCGCGAAUGGCUCAUUAAAUCACACCUAAUCUACUGGAAAGUAAGCAGUUACUUGGAUAACUGAGCUAAUUGUUGAGCUAAUACACGCUAAAAAUCCUGACGCAAGGAGGGAUGCUUUUAUUAGAUCAAAACUAGACGGCUUUGCUGUUUUUUGAUGACUCUGAAUAUCUUUGGGCUGAUCGUAUUGCCUAGUGCAGACGACGUUUCCUUCGAAGGUGUGCCCUAUCAACUGUCGACUGUGAUAUAGACGCUCACAGUGGUUUUGACGGGUAACGGGGAAUCAGGGUUCUAUUCCGGAGAGCUAGCCUUAGAAACGGCUAUCACAUCCAAGGAAGGCAGCAGGCACGCAAAUUACCCAAUGACCGAAGGUCGAGGUAGUGACGAAAAAUAACGAUACAGGACUCAUCCGAGGCCCUGUAAUUGGAAUGAGUACACUUUAAAACCGUUCCCGAGGAUCUAUUGGAGGGCAAGUCUGGUGCCAGCAGCCGCGGUAAUUCCAGCUCCAAUAGCGUAUAUUAAAGUUGUUGUGGUUAAAAAGCUCGUAGUUGGAUCUCGGCGGGCAGGAGUCGGUUUGAAUGCUUUCAAUACUGGCUCGUUUGCCCGUGUGUUUUGUCAGAGGUAGGCCGGUGCUCUUCACCGGGUGUCGGUCUAUACUGGCAGGUUUACUUUGAAAAAAUUAGAGUGCUCAAAGCAAGCAUCAUCGCUUGAAUAUUCGUGCAUGGAAUAAUAGAAUAGGAAGUCGUUUCUAUUUUGUUGGUUUUCGGAAAUUGACUUAAUGAUUAAUAGGGACAGUCGGGGGCAUUUGUAUUCAAACGACAGAGGUGAAAUUCUUGGACCGUUUGAAGACAAACUACUGCGAAAGCAUUUGCCAAGAAUGUUUUCAUUAAUCAAGAACGAAAGUUAGAGGUUCGAAGGCGAUUAGAUACCGCCCUAGUUCUAACCAUAAACGAUGCCAGCUAGCGAUCUGCAGGCGUUUUACUUUACGACCUUGCAGGGAGCUUCCGGGAAACCAAAGCUUGUGGGUUCCAGGGGAAGUAUGGUUGCAAAGCUGAAACUUAAAGGAAUUGACGGAAGGGCACCACCAGGAGUGGAGCCUGUGGCUUAAUUUGACUCAACACGGGAAAUCUCACCAGGCCCGGACACGGGAAGGAUUGACAGAUUGAUAGCUCUUUCUUGAUUUCGUGGGUAGUGGUGCAUGGCCGUUCUUAGUUGGUGGAGUGAUUUGUCUGGUUAAUUCCGAAUAACGAACGAGACUCUGUCCUGCUAACUAGUGUCAGCUUCUCUUUUGAGCUGAUUAUUCUUCUUAGAGGGACUGGUAGCUCUUAGCUACACGAGAUUGAGCAAUA